rnacentral:miRNA from 2 species
CAAACUCAGAGAAGAGAUCUGC